ACAUAGAUGUAUGUAUGUAUGUAUGUAUGUGUGUGUGUGUGUGUGUGUAUAUAUAUAUACACACACACACACACACACA
rnacentral:miRNA from 1 species